rnacentral:lncRNA from 1 species
AGAAAAAUCACAGAACUCUGUUAGUGAAAUGUAGAGAGUCAUAUUCUGUGUGGACACUAGUGUCUGAUGCUUGUCUAGAGAGGGAAGACUGAGAUUUGCAUCUUACGUCCUCAUUUCUCUCUCUCAGUAUCGAAUGGAAAGAAGGGGAAGAAGCAGGAGCAUCCAGAGAAAUGAAGCUUUGAAAUUUGGAAGGUAACAAGAGUCUGUGGAAGGAGACCCUGCUGGAAAAGAAACUUUGGAACCUAGUGUGUGGA